GGGGUGGAGCCUGGCUCUACCUCUCCUAGACCUAUUUAAGAGCUGGCUACCAAGGGGGAAGGAUCUCUUCUGGAGAUUGUGUCUGUUGGUGUUUUGUGAGUGAGCCCAAGAUAGGGGCACUUAAGUUUGAAUAGAGUGCUGAAGAGAGAAACUGAUUCUAAUGCCAACUCAACUUGAAAAGAAUCUCAGCAUCAGAUUGUCUUUGCUACUCUGGAUACUCUGAAGCACAGCAGUUCACGGGAAAUGGAAAUCUCCAAAAUUAUUAGUCUUUGCUAGGAUCUGGAAAUAUUCAGGAACUCCUGCUCUUGGUGAAGAUAUGGAUGUGAUGAUGGAAGGACCUCCUGUGACCUGGCAGAAUGAAUGCCAUUAGAAAUUUCAGCUCUACAUUUCCUGGCAUGGGGUGACCUUUAAGCAGCUAUAGAGAGUAUUGGGGCAGACAGCAUAGAAAUACAAAUAAAUGAAAACUCUGAUGUAAACGUCAUUUUGCCAUUCUAGAAAAUUAUGCCUCCAUUGAAAUUGAAGUGAAUUGCUUCACUGUUAACUGAAGAGAGCCAAUUUUCUUUCCUCUUAUACUAAUAUAAUACAUUUCAAAUAAUAAACAAUAUUCAACACUAAAGAAUAACAGCAGAACAUUUGUUAAAAGCUUUCAUAGUUACUAUUUGUGUUGAUGUUUAUUUGUACCUUACUGGACCUUUGUAUAUUCCCUGAGUUUUAGAACAAUUUUCUUGAGAAAACCUUUGACAUCAACCCUUGAAUCAGUGUUAUGACAGUCUCCUUGAUUUCUUUGACAAGAAAGUGGACUAUAGCAUCUUCUAUCAAGCUAACCUGAAUCUUGUACUACACCUUGGCUUCAGUUUUCCCAAGAACUUUUUGCAUCCAACAUUAAUGGUAUCCAAACUAAAUGUCUUGACAGCAGAGCCCAACUUAGUUGACUGAAGAUGGGAUCAAAGUUCUUGAAAAAGAAUGACAUUUUGGAAAUGUUUUAUGGCGUUGAAAACUUGUUCUACUCUGAAAUGCGUGCUCAAGUCCUCCAUAUUUUGUCCUUAAAAAUGUUUUUUUUUGUUCUACUUUACUUGCUUGAAGUCCAUUACAGAAAGUAAUACAGAGUUUAAUGUUGGUGUUAGUCCUAUUAUCUCUUUCAAAGGGCUGAUUUUAUUACUAGUAUUGAGAUUACUGUGUGUUUUAUCAUUUCAAAAUCUUCUUUUGGUAGAGGGAGAAAAACAAACCUAUGCCAUCUUAAUGAAAAAUUUUUCCUUGAAGCAGACCAAAGUUAACAAUUCAAGUAACGGUAAUUCCAGCCCUCUGCUUUUGAUUUGUUUUGUGAUAGUAGGGAUAUCAGCAUGCAGUGAAUACACGAACAACAGAUUUUUGUGAUCAAAAUAUAGUUGGAAGGUUUUGUAUCAUUAGUUUCUCAGCAUAUUUUCAAUGGUACUUUUCACUGUAAAUUAUGUUGCUUGUUUGUUUUCAUAGCCAGAGCACUGCAAAAUAUUUCUGUGAUCAUUCUGAUGCAUAGCUUGUGAAGUCCCUGCAGCAAUGCAGCAAUAGCCACUGCUGCUACAUAGACUGCUACAGAUCUGCUUUGCGUUUGUAAUGUGUGCACACAGUCCAUUUGAACUGUUGCCAAAACUACCUCACAGUUCUACAGAAUGGCUCUUAAAUUAGGACUGUUCCACAGGUCUGCAGCAGUUUUCUUGUGAUGCCGAGUUAGUUGAUCCUUAUAGAGAUGAGAGUAAUCACUUACUGCAAACUGAGAUAAACUCUCCGCAGUAGCUGAAAGGAACAGCUUAGUUGUGCAAAGAAAUGUUGAUGACAUUUAUUUUUAAAACAAGAAUUUUACUUCUUAGCACUCCUAGGUAUGUAAAAUGUGUUCUCUAAUUUGGACUUUAUCAACAAGAAUAUUUGAGUAGAACACCUUCUAAAUAAUUCAGUUAUAUUUUACACACUUUGUCAUACUGUUAGUAGUAGUAACAUUGUUUCAAUUCAGAGAAUCACAUCUAAUAUUCUAGGAAGUAUAGCUGACAGUUACAAAAUAGAAGCUCUGUUCUAAAUUUUGAAUAACUGCAGAUAAUUUACACAUAAAUAGGAUGAUCUAGGAGAAUACUGUAAUGGAACAUUACUAAUAUUUUUUUAAAUGAAGAGUCUUGGCAUAUUUGCUUAUUUUCAACAUUUGCAAAUGUUAAUGUAUUUAUUAAUAUUUUAUUAGCAAUAUAAAAAUCAAAAUAGGUAAAUUAUAUGUAUAGUAAAUGGGAAUAUCAACUGUAGUGAAAGAAUAUUAUGUAGAUAAUUAGAUUGCAUGAACAACUAAGUCAUUAUCAGUAUGAGAUGUAACUGCCUACUACUUUUAUGGUCCAGCAUAAAGUAAGAAGAUAACAAGAAUAUGGAAUAAAUUGAAUAAAAAGAAAAUUGAAUAAAUAACAGUAGCAAAAUAGCAGAAAUUUUUAUAUAACGUAAAAAAAGGUCCAGCUGUCAGAAUACAAAGAACCAUUCCUAUGUAGACCUCAAUUAAGAAAAGAUUAAUCCAGAUUAACACCUAUUAGAUCCCAGUGUAAGUAAAAGGCGUAAUAUACUACACAUUUUACCUAUAUGCUACUGUUGUGUUUCCUGAAAUAAAAAUCCUAAAUCUAUUAAGAAAUGGCCUGAUAAAUAAAUAUUGGGUGUAAAUGGAAAAUAACACUGAACAUUUGCAGAACAUACGUGAUGUUGGGCAGUCCACAUGAGUAUGUCUUAUAUGUCUUACCGUAUAAGUUUUAUUUGCACUGUGAAGGAAUCCUCUUAUUUCAUCCAAGUGAAGAAUCCACAAUUCUAUCUUAGUGCAAUUCUGAACCUACAUUUCAGUUUAUAGAUAUGAAGAAGAUAACACAUUCUUGUAAGGACUGUGCUACUACAUCUACAUUUGUUUUUAUUUGUGUUACCACGACAACUUUGAUCAUGAAGGUAUUUCAGGGGUAGCUGUAUAUUUUCCUUCAUUAAUUAACUUAGAAAUGCAUUAUUUUACUGCAUUUAUACUUACUCCACUAGUAGAAAAACAAUAUCUUGAAAAAGUAGACCACAAAGAAAAUAGAAGUAUGUAUGCAAACUCUUUAAGAAGACUAGAAAAAGGACAUGUAGAAAUACAAGGUGAAUUGUGUCCACAUAAAACAUGAACAUUGGCAGAUUGCUUUUUCUUCUUGCCAGUAAAAAGUAAUUCUCAAAGUAAUGACUACUACUAGGUAGCUGGGCAAUUAUGUGUUUUUCUUCUGACUGUAAUUAUCAUGAAUAUCACUCUGGAUUUGUACAUUCUUCCACUGAUUUUUGAUCACAAAGUUAUUCUACCUGGUUUUUUUUGUUUGUUUUUGUUUUUUUUUUAGGAAAAGUAGUAGUAUUUACUGUUAUUAAAACAAAUUGAUAAAUAUUGUUGUGCUUAUAAUUCAAAAGUUAAUGAAUAUUUCUCUAUGUGAAAUGCUUAUGAAGAGAUCUGAUAUUUUCUUUUUUUAUUAUUAUUUUAAUAAAUCAGAAGAAGGAUCCAGGGACUGUACUUUUCUAUGUAUAUAUAUAUAUAUGUACAAAAAAAUUCAAUUAUU